rnacentral:rRNA from 1 species
GACGAACGCUGGCGGCGUGCUUAACACAUGCAAGUCGAACGGAAAGGCUCCAGCUUGCUGGCGUACUCGAGUGGCGAACGGGUGAGUAACACGUGGGUAAUCUGCCCUGCACUCUGGGAUAAGCCUGGGAAACUGGGUCUAAUACUGGAUAUGACCUUUCUCCUUAUGGGGUUUGGUGGAAAGUUUUUCGGUGUAGGAUGAGCCCGCGGCCUAUCAGCUUGUUGGUGGGGUGAUGGCCUACCAAGGCGACGACGGGUAGCCGGCCUGAGGGGGUGAUCGGCCACAUUGGGACUGAGAUACGGCCCAGACUCCUACGGGAGGCAGCAGUGGGGAAUAUUGCACAAUGGGCGGAAGCCUGAUGCAGCGACGCCGCGUGAGGGAUGACGGCCUUCGGGUUGUAAACCUCUUUCAGCAGGGACGAAGCGUAAGUGACGGUACCUGCAGAAGAAGCACCGGCUAACUAUGU